rnacentral:ribozyme from 1 species
ACAAGAGGAAAGUAUUCGAAGUGGAGGUAGUCACUACCUGACAGCGAUCGCCAUC